CUUUCAACAACGGAUCUCUUGGUUCUGGCAUCGAUGAAGAACGCAGCGAAAUGCGAUAAGUAAUGUGAAUUGCAGAAUUCAGUGAAUCAUCGAAUCUUUGAACGCACAUUGCGCCCUCUGGUAUUCCGGAGGGCAUGCCUGUUCGAGCG
rnacentral:rRNA from 1 species